rnacentral:lncRNA from 1 species
AAAUUUUGCAAGAUAUGAAGACAAACUGACAUGCCAUCUGAAAAAUGGAGGAAGAUUUUGGUUCCUGAAAUUACCUGGGAUAUUGGAAUGGUUUGCUAUUUCCUUCUCCAGCGCAAUUUACAUAUGAGGAAACUGAGGCCAACUGAGAUAAGAGACUUUCCCAGAAUGAAUUCCUCACUUGUUCAAAAAAUCAACUUCAUAAAUACCUAUAGGUAGAAGAUAUAUAUGUACAACAUUUUAUGUGAAAAAUAUUCACAUAUUUUAAUGCACUGCAGACUCAGUGUGAGACAAAAGAAUGAUAUUUCCAUAGAUUAGUAAUUUUAUUGAUGAGGGUACUCCUUUCAGUACUAGAGAUCAUAAACCAUCCAAACUUUCUCAUCUUGUGUGACCUUCCUCAUUUAUUCCCAGAGAAAUUUAGAGAGUACUAAGUGUUAUCCUUAAGUCCUAUCUAACUCUCUGUUUCCUUCAACUUGAAACAUGACCAACCCACCUUCUUUAUAGUCAAUCAACAAUCUGAAUAUGCUUUUUUUUGUGUGAAGAAUUGAGUACAGUUCUUCUUUGGUAAUAUGCCAAUAGUUCAUCCACCAUGCACCUCUCCAUUGCCCUUUGUGUCAGUUGAAGUUUAAAAUCUUUAAAGCUUGUACAAUUUAGUUUGUCACCAAAAAAGCAUCAAUGUAAGAAUCUUGGUUUCAAAAAUAUCAUUAUAUAUCUAUAUAUGUGCAUAUGUAUACAUAUACAUACAAACAUGCAACUAGCUAGCUGACUAGCUAGCCAGACAAAUAUAGGUAGGUAUAUGUGUAAUGGUAACUGAUAUAGACAAUGACAUGGACCCAGAAUUAAAAAGGAGAAAGAGAGUAGUUUGUAUCUAAGAAAUUGCCUGAUUCUUUUAAUGGCUUAAUGGUUUGCAACCAUGAAUGUCCAUGUGUUUGUACACAUGUAUACAUGUAUAUGCACACAAGUAUAUAUAUAAAUAUAGACACACAAGCAGGCACAAAGUAUUCACAUACACAAUAGCUCUAUAGGUUGUUGUUCAUUUA